rnacentral:rRNA from 1 species
AGCUCUGCGAACGUGCACUAAUAUUGUUGCGGUUAAAAAGCUCAUAGUUGGAAGUGGUCGACAUGGAUACUGGGUGACUGGUAUUUGUGUUUAACUUGAUGUGGUAUAUGACUUUAUUGACAUAUAACUAUAUUGAGCGGCCACAACAAAUUGCUUUUGGCUUAACGGUCAAAAAGUGAUUUUAUUAUACUUUGAACAAAUCAGAGUGCUCAAAGCAGACUCGUGUCUGAAUGAUUAUGCAUGGAAUAUAUGAACAUGAGCCUACACAUCUAUGUUCCUAAUGAUGUGUUUAUGGCUAAUGAUUAAUGAAGUCUGACGGUGGCGUGCGUACUGCAGCGCGAGAGGUGAAAUUCUUGGACCGUUGCAUGACGAACAACUGCGAAAGCACUCGCCAAGAAUGACUUUG